CCUACGGGAGGCAGCAGUGAGGAAUAUUGGUCAAUGGACGUGAGUCUGAACCAGCCAAGUAGCGUGAAGGAUGACUGCCCUAUGGGUUGUAAACUUCUUUUAUAUGGGAAUAAAACAGGGUACGCAUACUCUCUUGUAUGUACCAUAUGAAUAAGGACCGGCUAACUCCGUGCCAGCAGCCGCGGUAAUACGGAGGAUCCGAGCGUUAUCCGGAUUUAUUGGGUUUAAAGGGAGCGUAGGUGGAUUGUUAAGUCAGUUGUGAAAGUUUGCGGCUCAACCGUAAAAUUGCCGUUGAAACUGGCAGUCUUGAGUGCAGGAGAGGUGGGCGGAAUUCGUGGUGUAGCGGUGAAAUGCUUAGAUAUCACGAAGAACUCCGAUUGCGAAGGCAGCUCACUGGACUGCAACUGACGCUGAUGCUCGAAGGCGUGGGUAGCGAACAGGAUUAGAUACCCGUGUAGUC
rnacentral:rRNA from 1 species